ACGAACGCCGGCGGCGUGCUUAACACAUGCAAGUCGAACGCGAAAGCCUGGGCAACUGGGCGAGUAGAGUGGCGAACGGGUGAGUAAUACGUGAGCAACCUACCCUUGAGUGGGGAAUAACUCCUCGAAAGGGGAGCUAAUACCGCAUAAGACCACGACUUCUUUGGGAGUUGAGGUCAAAGGUGGCCUCAUCAACACAGAGCGUUUGGGCACACAUUCUGCUCUAUUUAAAUGUUAAGAGUCUGUACCCCAGCGCUUUGUCAGUGAAGCUAUCGCUUGAGGAGGGGCUCGCGGCCCAUCAGCUAGUUGGUAGGGUAAUGGCCUACCAAGGUGACGACGGGUAGCUGGUCUGAGAGGACGACCAGCCACACGGGAAUUGAGAUACGGUCCCGACUCCUACGGGAGGCAGCAGUGGGGAAUCUUGGGCAAUGGGGGAAACCCUGACCCAGCGACGCCGCGUGGGGGA
rnacentral:rRNA from 1 species